GGAAGUCACAGGAUAUCCCUGGGCCAAUGGGAAGUCACAGGAUAUCCCAGGGCCAAUGGGAAGUCACAGGACUCUCUCAGUUUGAAUGGGCUGUGGGUAAAGGCUGUGGGGCGCAACAAUGGGGGAACAUGGCCGCUGGUAACUACCCUAUACCCCCAACAUCUGAGAAAUAGGGAAUGACCAUGAAGCCAGCCAGAUGGUGAAGAGCAGGAGGCCCACCGGGAGUUUUCCUCGUAUACUGGUGGUAUCACUGGUAACACCAAAAGAAAGCUGGUUUGGCUGAGCUUACAUCCCCCACCACUGCUCCACCACUUCCAUUGCCGAAUGCGUAUGGACCCUGAACAUAUAAUGUAAGAUACAUGCAUUGCCGUUGGAAAUCCUCAUAGGUAACAAAUGAGGCCACACCUCCAAAUCAUAAAACUUGACUUUUAUUCAAGCAAUUUAUGAACAUUGUAAGUCAUGGAAGGGCUGGAAGUUCCACCUGAUGCUUUUCGCACAUUGCCAGUCCGUAAGCAUAGGCUGAUAUCCAAUCACAAAACAGCAUUUAAAUACUGCUUAAUUUAGGUGACAUUUUAAUUGCGACCAGUUACACAAACAUAAUAUCUCUAAAUCACCAGAAAUAGUCUACAUUCCAUAUCUCACGUAACCCUUUAGGUACCCUAGUCUGUAGAGUAAAGAUCCAGAAGACUUUCUGGCAAUUGAAAAUAUUUCUGUCCUAGUUGGACCUUCAAACUGUUCUUCUAAAUAACCCUGACUGUCUCUCCCGAGGAGAGUACCAUAGUACCCACCCUACCAUAGCUACUUCUUCUUAUAGGAACCCUUUCCCUGUGAUUUC